ensembl:lncRNA
UUCAUUUAUUUACAUAUUUAUUCAUAGAAAACAAAACUUUUUCCACAAGGGGGGGCACUUCUCCCCAGACCCAGAACACAGAACAACGGAGGCCUGGCGGUCGGUCCCUGGCAGCCCCGUCCAGUUGGACUGUCUCCUGAACGCAGCCUCACACCAGCGGACCCGGCGUACCCAACCACGCCGGCAGGAAGUGGCUUUGUAGGCAGGUGGUGUGUGUGUGUGUGUGUGUGUGUGUGUGUGUGUGUUUUGAACUUGAGCGGUUGUGUGUGAAUACACAAACCCCUGGCUCUACACCGCCUCCCGGACCCCAAGGCAGGGGUCCGCGGGGGUCCAGACUCACUGGGACCCCGCUGGGGCCAGGACGCCGGCCAUCCCGUUCGCCUCCGCGUCCACCUCCCCCUCUCCCCCCUUCCCCUCCUGCUCCUCGCCUGCCUCCCCUCCGUCGCCCCCCUCGGCCCCCCGCUGCCCCCCCUUCGUCUCCAGGUGUCCGAGCAGCAGGCAGGUGUCGUUGGCGGGGGGUGGCUUGGCCUUGUUGCGCCGCGCGCUGCCCAUCCAGAACUCAGAGUUGCUGAUGAGGUCGCUGUCUGGCUCCGCCUCCCGCCGCCGCUGGCAGAGCUUCCAGGUCAGCAGGGCGGUGGUGACCAGCAGGCCCACGCACGCCACCGUCAGCGCGCCCGCCACCAUCAGCACCACGCGCCCCUGCGUCCGGGGGAACAUGCAGCGCUCCGUGGUGGCGGUGGUGGGCUUGGCGGUGGUGGAGGUAUGAGCGGGGAGCACCGAGCUGGGGGGCCGGGUCGGGCCGUCGGUGGCGUUGUACUCCGGUGUCGGGGAGGAGCCGGGGCCGUCUGAGGUUUGGUUCGAGGCGGAAGGGUCUCCCUGGGUCGUCAGGUCUGAGGGGGAGGGGUCCGGGGCGGAGGAGUCCGAGGGGGAGGGGUCCGGGGCGGAG